rnacentral:tRNA from 1 species
GGAGGGGUGGUCGAGUGGUUGAUGGCUCCGGUCUUGAAAACCGGCAGAGCGCAAGCUCUCGUGGGUUCGAAUCCCACCCCCUCCG